AGGGCAUGGUGAUGACAUUUCUUAAGGAGUUCUUUAAAUCUCUCCCAUGACUCAUAAAUAGAUUCAUCAUUUGACUGGGUAAAUGAGAUGAUAUUAUUUCUAAGCUU